rnacentral:rRNA from 1 species
GGAGUUUGGGCCGUGUCUCAGUCCCAAUGUGGCCGGUCACCCUCUCAGGUCGGCUACUGAUCGUCGCUUUGGUAGGCCGUUACCCUGCCAACUGGCUAAUCAGACCGCGGGUCCAUCUUAUACCGGAAAAAACCUUUUUCACCCUGUAUCAUGCGAUACUGUGCGCUUAUGGGGUAUUAGCAGAAAUUUCUCUCUGUUAUCCCCCUGUAUAAGGCAGGUUACCCACGCGUUACUCACCCGUCCGCCACUAAGCAUAAAAAGUUCCGCCCGAGGGCCUCGCUUAAAUGUGCUCCGUUCGACUUGCCAUGUGUUAGGCACGCCGCCAGCGUUCAUC